CAGCGGCGGCGAUUGGAGGAGGCGGCUGCUCGUCGAGUGGCGGGGUUCGCGGGCUAGGGUGUAACCGGGAAGGUGCUCGCGGCUGGAAGUCAGGGCAGCGGGUUGCGGGUUGCGGGAGGUGACUGCGGUCUCCCGGCCAGGCUGGCGGCUGCGGGAUCGGGACCCGCGUUCGAGUCUCCUACACCGGGGCUGUGCUUGCUGGCUCCCUUCUCGAUCUUCAGCCUGGGCGUCCCAUCGGCAGACCUGUGCGCGCCCGUGGUUCUUGGACCCCGGGCCCAGUUCUUUGGAGGACCAUGUCAUUGGAGUUUGGCAGUGUAGCACUGCAGACACAAAAUGAAGAUGAAGAAUUUGACAAAGAAGACUUUGAAAGGGAAAAAGAGUUGCAGCAGCUACUCACAGACCUCCCUCACGACAUGCUGGACGAUGAGCUCUCCUCUCCUGAGCGCCACGAUUCUGACUGCAGUAUGGACGGCAGAGCGGCAGAACCGCAUCCUUCUGAGCAUCUGGAAAGGAAGUGGAUUGAGCGGGAUAUACUGCCCAAGCCUCACAGCAUGAACUGUGGCAAUGGCUGGGAAGAAAAUCGAAGUAAAACCGAAGACCAGCAUCUUGGGUACCACCCUGGAGAAGGUGGGGAUGAAGGCGGAAGUGGCUAUAGCCCUCCAGGUAAACGGGAGCAGGCAGAUUUGUAUCGCCUUCCUGAAGACUUUAGGCCAUACACCGGCGGUUCGAAGCAGGCAGCCAGCGUGAUUACGUUUUCAGAUCCUCAGAGGGACAAUUUUCAGCAAUUUGGUUUAUCUCGAGGACCCAGCUGUGGAGCUUUGGAGCCGUAUAAAGCUGUAUAUAAGCCUUACCGUAACUCCUCUGUGCAGAAGAACAGCUCGCCAGCCCAGGAGGUAGCAGCAAGUGACAUGUUUGAAGGCUUGCAGCAACAGUUUUUAGGAGCUAAUGAAACAGACUCUGCAGAAAAUAUACAUAUUAUUCAACUCCAGGUUCUUAACAAAGCAAAGGAGAGACAACUGGACAGCUUGGUUGAAAAGCUGAAGGACAGCGAACGCCAGGUUCGGUAUCUGAGCCACCAGCUGCUGAUAGUCCAAGAUGAAAAGGAUGGCUUGGCCCUCAGCCUUCGGGAAUCCCAGCAGCUCUUUCAGAAUGGCAAGGAGAGGGAGAUGCAGCUUGAAGCUCAGAUUGCAGCACUGGAGGCGCAGGUCGAGGCCUUCCGAGUUAGUGAAGAGAAGCUCACCAAGAAGCUCAGAACAACCGAGAUCACCCUGGAAAGCCUGAAACAGCAACUGGUGGAGCUCCAUCAUUCUGAGUCACUUCAGCGAGCCAGAGAGCACCAUGAAAGCAUCGUUGCCAGCCUCACACAGAAGCACGAAGAGCAGGUGUCAUCCUUACAGAAGAAUUUGGACGCUACCAUAACGGCCCUUCAGGAACAGGAAAGUAUUUGCACGCGUUUGAAGGACCACGUGCAACAACUGGAGCGGAACCAGGAAGCAGUCAGAUUAGAGAAGACGGAGCUCAUUAAUAGGCUGACGAGGAGUCUAGAGGACAGUCAGAAGCAAUGUGCCCACCUGCUGCAAUCAGGCUCUGUGCAGGAGGUGGCUCAGCUACAGCUACAGUUGCAGCAAGCACAGAAGGCCCACGUCCUAAGUGAGAGCAUGAAUAAGGCUUUGCAAGAGGAAUUAACAGAGCUUAAAGAUGAGAUUUCGCUCUAUGAAUCUGCUGCAGAACUCGGAGUCCUUCCAGGUGACUCCGAAGGAGACCUGAGUAUAGAGCUCACUGAAUCAUGUGUGGACUUGGGCAUUAAAAAAGUCAAUUGGAAACAAUCCAAAGCUAACAGGGUCACACAGCAGGAGUCCCCAGAUGAAGACCCUUCGAAGGAUGAGCUUAUCCUGAAGCUGAAAACGCAAGUCCAGCGCUUGCUGACUAGCAACUCCGUGAAGCGACAUCUGGUGUCUCAGCUGCAGAGCGAUCUCAGAGAGUGCCGGGAGACAAUGGAAGCUUUCCAGCAAUCCAAGGAUGGUGACAGCGGCAUGGAGACUAAAACAGACACCUCUGAAAAAACAACUAAGCAGUUAUGGCUCGAAUCUUCUGAGGCAAUUAACAGAGAAGAUAUUCUGCAACUGAAAAAUGAAGUUCAAGUUUUACAAAAACAGAAUCAGGAACUGAAAGAGGCUGAAGAAAAACUGAGAAGUACAAAUCAAGACUUGUGUAAUCAGAUGAGACAGAUGGUGCAGGAGUUUGACCACGAUAAGCAGGAAGCUGUGGCUAGGUGUGAGAGGACUUACCAGCAGCACCACGAAGCCAUGAAGGCGCAGAUCCGAGAGAGCCUUCUAGCAAAGCACGCUGUGGAGAAGCAGCAUCUCUUGGAGGUCUAUGAGGGGACCCAGUCACAGCUCAGGUCUGACCUGGAUAAGAUGAACAAGGAGAUGGCUGCUGUGCAGGAGUGUUACCUGGAGGUAUGCAGAGAGAAGGAUGGGCUGGAGUCCACUCUCAGGAAGACCAUGGAAAAGGCUCAGGAGCAGAAGAGACAGCUUUUGGAAGCCAGAGAAGAAUACGUGCGCAAGCUGAAGUUAGAACUGGAAGAGAAGUACCAAGAAACUCUGAAGACGGAAAGGCAGAGCUGGCUGCAGGAGCAAGCUGCUGGAGCUACACAGCAGGCUGAGAAGGAGAGCAGACAAAAACUCAUUCAACAGCUGGAAAAGGAGUGGCAGUCCAAACUGGAUGACAGUCUUGCGGCUUGGAGAAAGACCACCUCAGACCGCGGCAGCCAGACCGAGCAGGUGGCCUGUCCUGCUGCCGUGUCUAAGGCAGAGGCAGCAGCAGUCCUGGCAGAGGAGCAGGCUCGCCAAGUCCAGCAGGAGAAGGAGCUUGCUACCAAGGAGGCUCUGAGGAAGCCCGAAGUUGAGUUGGAGCUCAAGUACUGUGAGAUUAUUGCACAAAAGGUGGAAACAGCUGUGCAGAAUGCCCGAAGUCGCUGGAUACAGGAGCUGCCCAUGCUUGCAGAGUACAAGGCUCUGCUCAGAGCCCAGCAGCAGGAGUGGGCAAAGCAGCAGGAGCUGGCUGUGGCCCAUAGGCUGUCACUCGCACUCUCUGAAGCUAAAGAGAAGUGGAAAAGUGAGCUGGAAAAUAUGAAGCCAAAUGUCAUGUCUGUCAAGGAGCUGGAGGAGAAAGUCCACUCUCUGCAGAAGGAGCUGGAGUUGAAGGAUGAGGAAGUCCCAGUGAUUGUCAGAGCUGAGGUGGCUAAGGCCAGAACUGAGUGGAACAAAGAAAAACAGGAAGAAAUCCACAAGAUUCAAGAACAAAACGAGGAGGAUUAUCGGCAGUUUUUAGAGGAUCAUCGAAAUAAAAUUAAUGAGGUGCUUGCAGCAGCUAAAGAGGACUUUGUGAAGCAAAAAGCUGAACUACUUCUUCAGAAGGAGACAGAAUUCCAGGCAUGUUUGGACCAGAGUCGCAAGGAGUGGACACUGCAGGAAGCCCAGCAGACACAAGUGGAAAUCCGUCAGUAUGAGGAAGACACCCUCACUGUACUUGCCUAUCUUCUAAAGGACACGCAGCUGGAGUACGGUGGGGACUCACAGGACAAGCAGCUUUUGGAAGCCAUGUCAGCUUGUUCUUCCAAAUGGAUAUCUGUACAGUACUUUGAGAAAGUAAAAGCCUGCAUACAAAAAGCUCUUCACGAUAUGCUGUCCUUGCUUACAGACAGUGUCGCCUCAGAGCAGGAGAAGCUAUUUCCCCAGGCAUUAAGUAUGAAGACAAUUUAUUUCAGAGAAAGGUGGUCAAGAGCUCUGCAGACACUGUCAGCUGGACCAGUAGCGAAGGAGACUCUGCGGUCCCAGUGCCCCUUCCUGACUCCACCUCUGUACGCUGUGCUCAGUCCUCGGCCUGGCUGAAAGCAGAAGCAGAAACUGAUAAAAAGAUCUGUGAAAUUAAAGGUUUACGCUGUGGACACUGCUUUCAAGAGCUUGAAAAGGAAAAGCAGGAGUGUCAAGAUCUGAGAAGGAAACUGGAGAAGUGCCGUAGGCACCUUCAGCAUUUAGAAAGGACACACAGAGCCGCAGUGGAGAAACUUGGAGAGGAGAACAGCAGGGUGGUUGAAGAAUUAAUAGAGGAGAACCAUGACAUGAAGAAUAAACUGGAGGCACUGAGGGCCCUUUGCAGAACGCCACCACGGUCACUGUCUGCAGGAGCCGCUGAGAGUGCUGGGCCGUCAUGCAGUAGGCAGGCCUUGGAAGAACUCCGCGGGCAGUACAUUAAAGCUGUGAGAAAAAUUAAACGUGACAUGCUUCGGUAUAUUCAGGAGAGCAAGGAAAGAGCUGCAGAGAUGGUAAAAGCGGAAGUGUUGCGGGAACGGCAGGAAACUGCACGGAAGAUGCGCAAUUAUUACCUGAGUUGUCUUCAGCAGAUCUUGCAGGAUAAUGGAAAAGAGGAGGGAGCUGAGAAAAAGAUUAUGAGUGCUGCUAGCAAACUCGCUACAAUGGCGGAGUUGCUGGGGACGAUCGCGGAGUCAGACUGCAGAGUCCGGUGUGCCCAGGCAGGCCGCUCAGUAGCACUUCCUUUGGCUUCAGAGAUGCUGACGGGCACUGAAAGAUCAGAAAGGAGUGGUGUGAAUCACAAUAUUCCACAUUACGUUGAAAGCAAACCAAACAGUGGAAAGACCCUCCCCAGGAGUGUGUGUGAGCAGCUGCCUGGGAGGAAGGCUGCGCCCAGGUCACAGAGGCGGUUAGAGGAAUCGAAGCACAGAGAGAUGAGACCCAUGGCUUCCACAGCUUUGCCUUCAGACUGUCGCUGUGGGGAUGCGAGUUGCAGGCACUCAGGCGUCUUGGCAAAGGAUGUUGCUCCUGAAUUUGUUCCGUGCCAGGGCGAGGGAGGCUUUGACUUGCACGAGAAGAGAGAUGCACUUGGAGCUGGCUCUGAGCCGCUGCUCUAUUCAGCUGCUCACUCCUUCCUUGGAGGUGCCGAAAAGAACUCUUCUCCUAGAUGCAUCUCAGAGUCCAGGCACACAACCCUGAGAAGUCCCAGUGAAAUGCCAAGGUUAAAGGCAUUGAUGUGUGGUUCUCCUACAGAAACUGACAGUAUUGCAUCUGAGAAGAGUCAGGGAGUGGGCUCUCAGGACUCCCCAGUGAAGGAUGGCGUGGGGCCCAGCAGCUCUCCAGCCUGGCCUUCUGACAGUACCUUACCCUGUGGCAGUCCUGCAGUGCUGUUUCUUGGGGAUGGGUCACAAAGGACUCAGGAGAUGCUGGGGGACUCUGUUCAGUGGAAACAAUUCUCAGCAACCAGUUGUCAUCCAGAUGCCCAGAAAAGUAAUAUGGUUUGUCGGAGUAGUCACACUCUAGAUCUGCCCAAAGAAACCCUGCAUUCCCAACAAGGGAAGAUGGGUGCAACUCUGGGACACCCAUCUCCACAGAGCACUGAUAUGUUAAAGACAGAUUUCAAGAGACUCAGUGGCACAGGACCAUCUUCAUUGUGUCAGAAGCCUUUGAUAAAGUUAACUGCUCCGAUGCCCAGCCAACAGGAUAGUGGCUUUGACAGCCCGCUUGAGUAAUUAUUUGCCUUAUUUCAGAAUAGUCAUUAAUUACUAUUUAAACAGGAAACUGGAUGGUAAUACUUGAUGCUAACAAACCAUUGUGAGGUCUUCCUGCCAGUUCUCAUGUUUUUGAUACCCUUGUAUCUGAGUAAAGUAUUCUCAGUUACUUGAGGCACUUGCGCUGCCUUAAUGUUGGAGGCCUAAGUGAUGUGCUGUGUGCUCUGCUUCUGUGUGCUGCUUCAUUCAGUUACUCAGCCCUCUACCUUUAUAUUUAUAUGCUGACUUAUUUUGGAGUGUUAAAAUAUUUAAUAAAAUUGUGCAUAAUCCGAA